AUUGAACGCUGGCGGAAUGCUUUACACAUGCAAGUCGAACGGCAGCACGGGGGCAGCCCUGGUGGCGAGUGGCGAACGGGUGAGUAAUACAUCGGAACGUGCCCGGUCGUGGGGGAUAACGUAGCGAAAGUUACGCUAAUACCGCAUACGAUCUGAGGAUGAAAGCGGGGGACCUUCGGGCCUCGCGCGAUCGGAGCGGCCGAUGUCAGAUUAGGUAGUUGGUGGGGUAAAGGCCUACCAAGCCGACGAUCUGUAGCUGGUCUGAGAGGACGACCAGCCACACUGGGACUGAGACACGGCCCAGACUCCUACGGGGGGCAGCAGUGGGGAAUUUUGGACAAUGGGCGCAAGCCUGAUCCAGCCAUUCCGCGUGCAGGACGAAGGCCUUCGGGUUGUAAACUGCUUUUGUACGGAACGAAAAGGCUCUGGCUAAUACCUGGGGCUCAUGACGGUACCGUAAGAAUAAGCACCGGCUAACUACGUG
rnacentral:rRNA from 1 species